GCCAGGUGUGGUGGUGCAUUCCUGUAAUCCCAGCAGCUCAGGAGGCAAAGACAGGAGCUUUGUGAGUUCAAAGCCAGCCUCAGCAAUGGCAAAGCACUAAGCAACUCAAUGAGACCCUGUCUCUA
rnacentral:sRNA from 1 species